UUUAUUUCUUCUUCUUUUUUAUAUAUCUAUAUAUACUUUUAUGGGUGGGAGGGGAGUGGUUGCAGCAAACCCGGCCUUUUCUCAUUGACCAGUGUUUAGGUCCUGCGGGAGAGAUGCAGGUGGAAAAGUACAGCAUCUGCAGAGAAGCUCUUCUCUUGCAGAAGCAGCGUCCUUCACACUGCGUGUCAAGUCGCAGUCGGGCUGCGAGAGCUCUGGCCAUGUUCCAUGGUGCAUAACUUGUGUUGAGGGCAGUUGGAGAGAGUCUUGGGUUUAUUGCCUGUUAAGAGAAGGUUAAAAUAAUAAUAAUAUAAAGCAAAACCUCUAACUCUGAUUCUCAGGGAUGAGAUUUCUGUGUUCUCACAAUGACUCUUGUGUUGGAUGUUUUCUUUCUUUUGUGCACAUGUGGAUUUCUGCACUUUGAGCCUUGGGAAAGGGGCGAACAUGAUGUGCUGGUGGGGAGGGAGCACUGAAGGAAAAGCCUGGGCAGGACCUUGUGUCCAUGGGUCUGAUGAACCAUUGUAGGGCUAAUUUGGGGCACAGGGACCUGUAAUUUGCUGACAAAAGGUUGAAGGAGAAUGGGUGGGAGGUGCCAGAUGAGCACACCACUAAAAAUAAUAAGAAAAAGGAGAGGGUUGGACAGAUGAUUUUAUUCAGAGGAUCUACCAAGGCCCAGAACUGUGAAACUACUUAGGACCGGUGUUGAUCCUGCUGGACCCUGGGGAUUCCUUUUGUAUCUGGGGUGGUUGGGUGGUAUGGGAUGCUACCACAAUGCUCUCAUGCUCUCAGCAAGUGUUUCAGCCUCAAGCAGUCUGCUGUAGGGUGGUUCUUCACAUCUCCUGUAGCUCUUCUGUUGAGGAAAUUCAACCUGGUUUUGUUUCCUUCUGUGGUUUUCUGUUUUGUUUUGUUCCGUUACUAAUUAAUAAUCUCUGGCUAAUCUCAUCCCUGGAUUCUGCUAAAGGGUAACUCCUGUCUAUAUCUCUGUCUCUGUAUUUGUGUGCACUUUGAAUAAAGGAAGUGCAAUAGCCAGAGGGCUGCCGUGGGUAACAGCUGUGAUUUGCAAACGGAGGGCUAUGCAACAAGAUGACACGUUCAGAAACACAUCCAAACCACCAACAGUCUGAAAGACCUUCAUCCAUUCUGUAGCUUUAUCUGCUGGAUUUUCCUGUUUCAGGCUUCAGCAUGAUUGUGACCAAAUGUUUUAUACAUUUUCCUUAUAAGAAGGCACAAACACUUUAUUUGGGAUUUUAAUGAAAAUGUUCCUAUUUUACUCCAGGAAGUAAAGGAGAGGGAAACCACAAUCUCUCUGCCAGUGCAUGCAAACAUUGUACCCAAACCGGAAAGCAAAAGAGGUGUCUUUCUGUAUGGAAUAACUUUGUCUUUCCCCUUCCUCUACCAUUUUAGACACUCGCACCCCCAGUCCUACACUAACACACCAUCUGGAAGUGCACAGCCAAAACCCAUGGCCUUGGGUCACUCCAGUUCUUAGGUAGAACAUGAAGAAGGACCUCAAGUUGUCCAAUCCUCCACCUGCCUCGUAGGGGUCGAUGCCAGUGACAGACAAGCCUGACCACAGUUGUUCAUAACCCUUUUCCCCCCUUUUUUUACAGCCUCUCUGCUGUCUCUUCAAUGCAUACAUGAUAUUUCCAAGAAUCCUCAUAGUGAGUUGCCAAACUUGAAUUGCACCAAUCAGUUUUCUGCAUCCAGAAACCAGUCUCGUAGUGGCUGUACUUUGACUAAGUAAUGUUUGCAUGUAAAAUAUAUACAUAUAUACAUAUCUAUAAAAAGUAUGUGCAUGGAAAAUGUUUAUCUUCGUACUUUUUUGAUACAAUGUAUUCAUCAGUUGUUAAUUUUUAAUUAUAUUUGAUAUAAAUUGGGGGUUUGUUGCAAAACUUUAUAUUUAAAAAAACAGUGUUAAAAACGAUGAAAGUUCCAACCAUGCAACACAAGUGGAACUUUACCCAAAAAAAAAAAAGGGGGAAAAAACAAAACAAAGAAAAAAAAGGUUCUGUGAUUGCCUAGUUUGCUGCCUGAGUAAUAUUUAUCAGCCAAACUUUGAAUUCUGCAGUUGUUUCUACAAUUACAUUUUGUAUGAAGCAAAGUCCUUGAAUUAAAAUAAAAACUUAGCAAAAAAAAA
ensembl:lncRNA